rnacentral:tRNA from 1 species
UAGCUCAGCGGUACAGUGCCUGCCUAGCAAGCAGGAAAUCCUGAGUUCGAUUCUUGG